UACGAAGGUCCCAAGCGUUAUCCGGAUUUAUUGGGUUUAAAGGGUGCGUAGGCGGGUUAUUAAGUCAGUGGUGAAAGCCUACAGCUUAACUGUAGAACUGCCAUUGAUACUGAUGAUCUUGAGUAUGAUUGAGGUGGGCGGAAUGUGUCAUGUAGCGGUGAAAUGCUUAGAGAUGACACAGAACACCGAUUGCGAAGGCAGCCCACUACGCAACUAUUGACGCUGAGGCACGAAAGCGUGGGGAUCAAACAGG
rnacentral:rRNA from 1 species